AAAUAAACUAAGAUAAAUGAACAGCAGAAAUCACAUGAUAUUAUAAAUACGCUCUACUCUCCAUAUCCCUUUCCUCCUCUCUAUCUCAGGUUGUAUUGUAUCCUCUCUAUCUCAGGUUGUAUUGUAUCCUCCUCUCUAUCUCAGGUUGUAUUGUAUCCUCUCUAUCUCAGGUUGUAUUGUAUCCUCUUCUCUAUCUCAGGUUGUAUUGUAUCCUCCUCUCUAUCUCAGGUUGUAUUGUAUCCUCUCUAUCUCAGGUUGUAUUGUAUCCUCCUCUCUAUCUCAGGUUGUAUUGUAUCCUCUCUAUCUCAGGUUGUAUUGUAUCAUCUCAAUCACAGGUUGUAUUGUAUCCUCUCUAUCUCAGGUUGUAUUGUAUCAUCUCUAUCUCAGAUUGUAUUGUAUCCUCCUCUCUAUCUCAGGUUGUAUUGUAUCCUCUCUAUCUCAGGUUGUAUUGUAUCCUCUCUAUCUCAGGUUGUAUUGUAUCUUCUCUAUCUCAGGUUUUAUUGUAUCCUCCUCUCUAUCUCAGGUUGUAUUGUAUCCUCCUCUCUAUCUCAGGUUGUAUUGUAUCCUCCUCUCUAUGUCAUGUAUUGUCAUGUUGUGUCUUUCUGUCCUUUCCUUUCNNNNNNNNNNNNNNNNNNNNNNNNNNNNNNNNNNNNNNNNNNNNNNNNNNNNNNNNNNNNNNNNNNNNNNNNNNNNNNNNNNNNNNNNNNNNNNNNNNNNNNNNNNNNNNNNNNNNNNNNNNNNNNNNNNNNNNNNNNNAAGUCCUGGAAACCAGGCCAGGUGUUCAUAGCUGACUUUAAAAAAGGCUUUUGAUACGACUGGAAUUUAUAUAUAAAUGCCUGGAAUAUUUUAUUUUUGGAGAAUCUCUUAUAAAAUGGGUUAAAGUCAUGUAUAGUUAACCUACAGUAGGUGUCAAAUAGUAAAUAAUAACUACUUUUCAGAAAGUUUUAAACUGUCAAGAGGAGUAAAACAAGGUUGUCCCACUGUCGGGCAUAUAUACAGUGGGGAGAACAAGUAUUUGAUACACUGCCGAUAUUGCAGGGUUUCCUACUUACAAAGCAUGUAGAGGUCUGUCAUUUUUAUCAUAGGUACACUUCAACUGUGAGAGACGGAAUCUAAAACAAAAAUCCCCAAAAUCACAUUGCAUAAUUUUUAAGUAAUUAAUUUGCAUUUUAUUAUUUAUUUAUUUUAUUUUUUAUUUAUUAUUAUUAUUUCUCUCCCUCUGUUAUCUACCAGAUAAUAGUCAGUCAGUCUACCUCUGUUCUGGAUUGUAGAUAACAAUGUGGAUUUAAUAAGAGCUCAAAGUUCUCUCCCCGACCCGUGGAUCACCGACAGACCGUUGAUUAUCGUGAGGCCAUGGAAUCCAGACUAGUGUUUUAAAGAGGACGGUCUGGAAUCCUGUUGUCUCCAGUGACUACAAUAACCUGUCUGAAUUGACAGGCCUGCCCUCUGCACUCACUAUGUCAGUUCAGCUGUGCCGCUGUGCAACUGCUGACACACCAAAGUGAGCACACAGACUCCUCACUGAUCACAGGCACACGCCGGCAUGGAUCUGCUUGUGCAGCUGACGCCACUAACUUUAGCCCUUCUUGCCCCCGGACUCCUACUCGGUCAGCCUAAGCCCCCCAUUCCCUUAGCCCCCCCAUUCCCUCAGCCCACUAUCUACCCAACCCUAGACUCCCAGCCCUCACAACCCUAGCUCUGCUAUGUAAUGAGACCACCAGCCCUACUAUGUAAUGAGACCACCAGCCCAUUUCCCUCCAGUCUUCUAUGUAUAACUUUCCUGUCCAUCGGUCCGUCUGCCCGUUAGUCUGUCCAUCUGUCUGUGAGAGUUGGUCACCCACACAGAGAUUUAUCCAGCUAGACCAGGCAGACAGCUCCUCAUUCAGAUACCUAAAGCCUUCUGACCACUGUUCUGUUUAGAAUAGGAAAUGGAGAAAACCUAAAAAAAAAAAUAUCCUCCAUGUUUUCUGUUUCCUGUCUCAAAAUGAAGAAAGCAGAUGCAGAAAUAUGAUGUAUUUGGGUCCUUUUCAAACAUUGAAGAGAGAGAGAGCUCUGGUUCACCAGUUCUCCAACUUCAGUCUGCACGUUGUAUCAAAUGAGCCUUUGUUUAUUUAUUUAUUCAGCAUUGCAGAUGCUUUUGAAAUAUGAUAUUCUGCUAUUGUAACCUAAGGCCUCUUUAUUGUAAUGUAGAUGUUUGAUCAUGUGGUGCUGCCUUGCUAUGUUGUCGUCUUUAGGUCUCUCUUUAUGUAGUGGAGUGGUGUCUCUCUUUAUGUAGUGGAGUGGUGUCUCUCUUUAUGUAGUGGAGUGGUGUCUCUCUUUAUGUAGUGGAGUGGUGUCUCUCUUUAUGUAGUGGAGUGGUGUCUCUCUUUAUGUAGUGGAGUGGUGUCUCUCUUUAUGUAGUGGAGUGGUGUCUCUCUUUAUGUAGUGGAGUGGUGUCUCUCUUUAUGUAGUGGAGUGGUGUCUCUCUUUAUGUAGUGGAGUGGUGUCUCUCUUUAUGUAGUGGAGUGGUGUCUCUCUUUAUGUAGUGUUGUGUUGUCUCUCUUGUUGUGAUGUGUGUUUUGUCCUAUAUGUGUAUAUUGUAUUUUUAAUCCCAGCCCCCCGUCCCAGCAGGAGGCCUUUUGUCUUUUGGUAGUCCGUCAUUGUAAAUACGAAUUUGUUUUUUAACUGACUUGCCCUAGGUUAAAUAAAGGUUAAAUUAUUUAAAACAGGUCAUUUGGUGGAAUUAAACUACAUACUAAGGGAUAUUAGCAUGAUAGUUCUGUGGACAUUGGAGGGAAUUUUAUGGAUUUUUAACAGCGUUUUUUUUUACAUGUUAGGAGAAAUAAACUAAGAUAAAUGAACAGCAGAAAUCACAUGAUAUUAUAAAUACGCUCUACUCUCCAUAUCCCUUUCCUCCUCUCUAUCUCAGGUUGUAUUGUAUCCUCUCUAUCUCAGGUUGUAUUGUAUCCUCCUCUCUAUCUCAGGUUGUAUUGUAUCCUCUCUAUCUCAGGUUGUAUUGUAUCCUCUUCUCUAUCUCAGGUUGUAUUGUAUCCUCCUCUCUAUCUCAGGUUGUAUUGUAUCCUCUCUAUCUCAGGUUGUAUUGUAUCCUCCUCUCUAUCUCAGGUUGUAUU
rnacentral:lncRNA from 13 species